AUUCUGUUGGGCACAGGGGCCUCAUUCAUGAAGAAAGCAGCCAGAGGCCUUGCCUUUGUGGCACCUAGAGCACCAACCUGGUGGGGAAAACAGAGAUGAAACAAUAAUAAUCACAGGAAGAGGAAAACUCACAGGGACUUGAUUUGGAUGGAAGAUGUUGGGUGACCAGGAGUGAGAAGGAUGCAGAUCAGGGAAGAAAUAUGAUGUGGUCUGGAAUUUGAAGGAUGGGCACUGUUUUGGGAAGAGGACAUUCUCUGGGCAAGAGACAGAAGAGUAUGAGAGCAGAGGAGAAAGGAUUUCCCCACUACAAUAAUGAGGACAUGAUUAAUAUCCACCUCACGGACUACUGAGGGAUCCAGUGAAUCAACAUGUGCCAAGUGCCCAGAACACUGCCUGUUGCCCAGCAAGUGCCCAAUCCAGCAAGUGUUAACCACCAUCAUUAUCAUUAUUAAUAUGUAUGGGGUUCUUUCGUGUCAAGGUUCAUUUGUCUUUUCUUGGCUAAAUUGUGUCUCAUGUUGAAUAAAUUGUAUCAUUUUGAA